UUUCCAGAUACAUUUCGUAUUUAUUGAUUCUUACAAGGGUCUCGACGUUCAAUUGCGUUUUGAUCUUCUUCAAUCUCUAAGGUAAAUGCUUGCUUUAUAAUUUCAAUCUUGGCUUUUUCUUUACACUUGUUUAAUUUAUUUACAACAAUUGAAUACAUGUGAACGAACUCAGAUGGGUUUGAUUGAAUUGUUUUAUGUUUACCAAUUUACAAUUUUUAAUAUCCUUUGUAUAUAUUUUGAUGAGAAUAUAGUCAUUAUAUUUAGGAUUUCGAUGAAUUAAGUUAAUGCAUAGUUAUCAAAUUAAAAAAUAGCAUACAUAAAAUAAAUAGCAAAAUUAAUUAAUCUUUGUUCGUUUUCUAAAUUCAAAGGAUAUUUAUCUAUAUGAAAAUAUGGAGAAUCUUGUUUAUCAAGGACCCGUUUUUGUGUUUUAGGAUUUUUAUUUUAUUUUAUUUUAUUAUUAUUUUUUUUUUUUUUUAGAGGAAUUUAGGUCCCAGUAGGUAGUUAGCAAAUCUUUUUUGCAGUUAGAAUAUGAAGUUUGGGAAUUUACAUUUCCCUUGAAGCUACAUAAGAGUAUUUGGGGACUGAAAUUCUGAAAUUUGAACUAUUUUACACUGGAUAGUGGGUUAAAUUAAUUAUUUUUAGGGCCUAAAGAGAUAGCUAUGAACUGGUUUUACUUUCUAAUAUUAUUCAUUGUUCUUGUGAUCUUUAGGAAAAUUCGGAUUUGAAUUAAAUGUCGAUCGAGGCCCAAGAAUCCUCGGGAAUUGGCAGUGAUGACGGUGGUGAUUUCGAGUGCAAUAUUUGCUUCGAGUUAGCAGCGGAUCCUAUAAUCACCGUCUGUGGUCAUCUAUAUUGUUGGCCGUGUCUCUAUAAAUGGCUACGACUUUACUCUCAAUCACAAGGAUGCCCAGUUUGUAACGCCUUAAUACGAGAGGAAAAGUUGAUUCCUUUGUACGGUCGAGGAAAGGUUCCAACUGACCCGAGAUCAAAAACCGUUCCCAGCACUGAAAUCCCUAGUCGACCGACAUGGCAGAGACCAGAAACGGCUCCAUCUCCAGGAGCAAGUAACAUCUCUAACUUGAUGUUUGGAUUUAUACCGACAUUCUCUCCAAAUUUCAACGCCCAAGUUCAUGGAUUUUCGAAUGCUGGUGAAUAUGGUGCGACCCGAGGAUAUUAUCAUCGAUACUCUCGUCCCUUUCGUGAUCCCGAAGGCGAAAUCCGUGAUAGGGAGAGUAGUAACGUUCAAGAGACAGAUGGCAUUCUGAAGAGGAUUCAUUUUGUUGUUUUGGUUCUUGCACUCUUUGCUUUAUUGCUAUUGUAAAUGGAUUUAGCUAUCGACUUCAGUCAAACGAGUGCGAGAAAUGGUAAUUUUUAUGUCUCUAAAAGUCGUUGUCGAGUGCGAUUACGUGCUCGUGAUUGAGAAUCUCGUUUUACAAAUACACUGUAAAUCUUAGAUAUGCUCG
rnacentral:lncRNA from 1 species